AAAAUAUCCCCAAAAUAUCACUUUACGACAGUGUGGCCAGCGCGGCGGCGGCGCUUUACGGCGGUGUGGCGAGCUGGCUGAGGAGGCGGCGGCGCUUUACGGCAGCGUGGCGGUGCGCUCGGAUCUGCCCAGAUUAAAAAAUCUUUAAUCGCCCUUUAAAGCCCUCGAACCCACGGCAGCACCCCCGACAAUGCAACUGUGAAAAUUUUAGGUUACAACUGUGCAAAACGCCAAUCACAUAAUGUUAAAAUAGAAACUCUGCCAUAUAGGACUUGUUACAAUCUCAAGCGAGAAAAUGAGAUAAUCAAGAAACUCUUCACACAGAGAUGGCAGCGAAGGGGUCCCAUAAAAAGUUACAGCCUCCUUAUCAGAAAAGACAAAACAUUCUUCCACCUUCUCUCUGUCUUUUUUGGAACCAACAAGAGUAAGGAGAAGAAGUUGACAAACACCAGAAAAGUUCUUAAUUUGCAAGGAAUUUAUGCAUCAUGUAUGAGAUAUAUGAAUAUGCAACAGGCUAUUGCUUUUAAGGUUAUUCCUUUGUUCACAAGGCAUGCUUUUCGUGACUUAGUGUCCGAGAGCAUCCCGACCGCCGUAAUUAUUUGUUUUUUAUUGUCUUGUGAUUGUCCAAACUCUGAACUUUAUUACUCUCAUUGAAUUACUAUUUUUAUAA